AGUGAACGCUGGCGGUAGGCCUAACACAUGCAAGUCGAACGGCAGCACAGAGGAGCUUGCUCCUUGGGUGGCGAGUGGCGGACGGGUGAGGAAUACAUCGGAAUCUACUCUGUCGUGGGGGAUAACGUAGGGAAACUUACGCUAAUACCGCAUACGACCUACGGGUGAAAGCAGGGGAUCUUCGGACCUUGCGCGAUUGAAUGAGCCGAUGUCGGAUUAGCUAGUUGGCGGGGUAAAGGCCCACCAAGGCGACGAUCCGCAGCUGGUCUGAGAGGAUGAUCAGCCACACUGGAACUGAGACACGGUCCAGACUCCUACGGGAGGCAGAAGUGGGGAAUAUUGGACAAUGGGCGCAAGCCUGAUCCAGCCAUACCGCGUGGGUGAAGAAGGCCUUCGGGUUGUAAAGCCCUUUUGUUGGGAAAGAGAUCCAUCUGGUUAAUACCCGGGUGGGAUGACGGUACCCAAAGAAUAAGCACCGGCUAACUUCGUGCCAGCAGCCGCCGUAA
rnacentral:rRNA from 1 species